rnacentral:rRNA from 1 species
GAUGAACGCUGGCGGCGUGCCUAAUACAUGCAAGUCGAGCGAACAGACGAGGAGCUUGCUCCUCUGACGUUAGCGGCGGACGGGUGAGUAACACGUGGAUAACCUACCUAUAGGCUGGGAUAACCUCGGGAAACCGGGGCUAAUACCGGAAAAUAUUUUGAACCGCAUGGUUCCAUAGUGAAAGACGGUUUUGCUGUCCCUUAUUGAUGGAUCCGCGCCGCAUUAGCUAGUUGGUAAGGUAACGGCUUACCAAGGCAACGAUGCGUAGCCGACCUGAGAGGGUGAUCGGCCACACUGGAACUGAGACACGGUCCAGACUCCUACGGGAGGCAGCAGUAGGGAAUCUUCCGCAAUGGGCGAAAGCCUGACGGAGCAACGCCGCGUGAGUGAUGAAGGUCUUCGGAUCGUAAAACUCUGUUAUUAGGGAAGAACAAAUGUGUAAGUAACUAUGCACGUCUUGACGGUACCUAAUCAGAAAGCCACGGCUAACUACGUG